rnacentral:rRNA from 1 species
AAUGAACGCUGGCGGCAUGCCUUACACAUGCAAGUCGAACGGCAGCAUGACCUAGCUUGCUAGGUUGAUGGCGAGUGGCGAACGGGUGAGUAAUGCAUCGGAACGUGCCUUUUAGUGGGGGAUAACGUAGCGAAAGUUACGCUAAUACCGCAUAUUCUCUGAGGAGGAAAGCAGGGGACCUUCGGGCCUUGCGCUAGAAGAGCGGCCGAUGUCGGAUUAGCUAGUUGGUGAGGUAAAGGCUCACCAAGGCAACGAUCUGUAGCGGGUCUGAGAGGAUGAUCCGCCACACUGGGACUGAGACACGGCCCAGACUCCUACGGGAGGCAGCAGUGGGGAAUUUUGGACAAUGGGCGCAAGCCUGAUCCAGCCAUGCCGCGUGAGUGAAGAAGGCCUUCGGGUUGUAAAGCUCUUUCGGCUGGGAAGAAAUCGCACCCUCUAAUACAGGAUGUGGAUGACGGUACCAGCAUAAGAAGCACCGGCUAACUACGUG